CUACGUUACUCCGCUAUGUGUUUCAUUUGAUGUCAAUUCUCUACAUUACAUGUUUCCUUAAACGGUGUUUAUAGUUGAGGUUUAACUAAUGUCACUUUUGUUGUUAGACACUUUUAUAAUAGCGUUAGGUAGUUGGCUAACUAAGCAGGUAGUUAACUACCCAAUGCUACUCUUGCUACGUGUAAAGUAUAUAUGUUUAAGACGUGUUGACAUGAGUAGUACAGAAAUAAUGCUAAUGGUUCUUGUAUCUUUAUUCAGUGUCCAAAAAACACAGGUUGACAGGGGAAGUCGGUGUGAGAGCCCUGUGCUACAGGUCAAUGAGGAAGAGUGAGGCACCACACAGACUAAGUGUAGGCAGGAAGCUGUGUAAAGUUGUUAAUCCCUGUUCAGUGGGGUUCAGUUCAUUUAAGCAUUAGUUAAGUUCAUUCCUGAAGGCCCAUCAACUUGAAUGUUUUCCUUGUCCCCCUGCUUUAUCACACCUAAUUUGACUAGUCAGAUGUGUUUGGGUGAUCAGAAACAAAUUUACACCAAGUUAAUACUGCAAAUAUACACAAUCUAAGUUAUUACAGUUAUCAAGGAUGGUUAAAUUGUUUUAAUAGGGAGAGAAGGAAACACUAAGCAUUCAGGAGGGUAAGCCUGUAGGGGUCAGUAACCAUAACACUGAACUAUGUUCCUGUUCGGCUCUUCCAUGAAGAUGAUGUUACAUUUUUAAUUUUAGUUCUUUCUUCUUAGAUUAAGCUUCUGGAUUCAUCGCCGGUGGUACUGACACAUAGCCAGUGCUCCUGUGUGGCAGGUGCUGUUAUGUGCAAUCACACAGUGGCACUGCUCUUCCAAACAGCACACUACUCACAACUCAGAGUGCCGGUUGUCCCCCUGUGCAUAGCUGCACCGAAUCUGAACAGCAAUGGCACAAGCCACGGACAGUGGGUGUGAAGCCAGGACCUAUCAACUCUAUGAUCUUCACUAAGCCGGUACCAAAUAGGAUGGCCCAGACUGGAGUACGGAGUGGAUUCUACAGAGGCAUUGUGGGUCCAUUACCAGAUCCCUGACCUGACAAGCCCCUUGUGGAAAGUGCCUUUGGGCUGGUGCAGGAGGGCAGUGUUCUGUCAUGUCAGCAGCCGGUUUUGACAACCCGGUACAUCACACUACACCGUGAUGCACCACCAACACCGCACUUGCCUCUGGAGUAUGGGUAUGACAUGAAGGAAACCCUGCUCGCUCAGACAGCCUGUGAUAUUUUCUCAAACCGCUGCGCUGAACCAGUUUCCAAAGAACAUGCUGUGUGACACAAUAAAUAUCCUUUAACCUGUUAACCUGUGGCUUCUGGAAGAAACUCGGGUGAGUCAGUCACUGCAAACACAUUUGUAUCAUCAAGUGUUUGUCAAAUGAAAAUGAUAUGUUUUUCUACACUUAGGAUAAUUUUCUAUGUUGCAGUGCAGUAAAGUGCAUGUUUCUUCUGUGUUCAAUCAUACAUGUUCUAAUUGUUAUAAACAGAAAAAAUCUUUUCUUACUUAACUGCUUGAUUCUUAACUUGUUUAACUGAAACAUGAUGAAAUGUCAUAGUAUUAUUUUUUUUUUUUAAAUGUCCUUGGCAGUGCAUGUGUCUGCAUUGUAACUUACUAAUAAAAAGUCCUGUGUGUA